rnacentral:lncRNA from 1 species
CUUCCCUCCAUAUAUAUAGAGCAUACAUCCAUACUAAUUUUCUCACACCUUUACUAUCAUAUUCUAAGUUUAAUAUUGAUAUUGAUAUUGAACAAUGAAUUCCAAAAAUGCAAUGCUCAUCCUAGGUCUCUUGGCCAUGAUUCUUCUUAUCUCUUCAGAAGUUUCAGCUAGAGACUUAACUGAAACUUCCACCGAUACCAAAAAGGGUACGUGACAUAUAUACGCACACAUUACUUAAAUAUUAUACUGAUAUGACUUAAUAUUUCUUUUUUCUUUUUUUGUUUUAUAAAUAAAAUAAUUGUUCAUAAAUAAUUCAUUUGCAGAUGUUGUUGAACAGACUGAUGGAUUAAAUAAUGCACUUUUUCCUGCUAUAAAGUUCCCACCUAUAAAACCCCCCAAACCUCCUCGUGGUAAUGGUUGCGGCCAAAAAGGUUGUUGUGGUAGGAUCAACCUAGGAUUUUAUUGCUCAACGUGUUGCUGAUAUAUGCUGGUGAUGCUGUUGAUGUGCAAGUUGAAGGCAACACUCAUGAUGCACUUUCUUAAUUACUACUACAUUAUAAAUAAAUGUCAUGAAUAAAUCAUGUUGUGUGUUUAUCAAGAGAAGCUAGCAUAGAUAGACUUCAAUCUCUGUUGUUGUGCAUCUUGCCACUCUAUAAUAGAUAUUUUCAUAAGUGGAAAUCAUGUAUAAAUAAAUAUACAUAUGUGUUAUCAUAUGUAUUAUAUCAAAUAUCAUUGUUGUUUAUGCUUUCUCUCCGUUUUGUUUUCGAAUUUAAAAUAAAUUUAAAUUUUCAAUAAAUUU